UACGUAGGGGGCAAGCGUUGUCCGGAAUCAUUGGGCGUAAAGAGCGCGUAGGCGGUCCGUUAAGUCCGCUCUGAAAGCCCGGGGCUCAACCCCGGGAGGCGGGCGGAUACUGUCGGGCUAGAGUCCGGAAGAGGCGAGUGGAAUUCCUGGUGUAGCGGUGAAAUGCGCAGAUAUCAGGAAGAACAUCGGUGGCGAAGGCGCUCUGCUGGACCAUAACUGACACUCAGGGACGAAAGCUAGGGGAGCGAAUGGG
rnacentral:rRNA from 1 species